CCUACGGGCGGCAGCAGUGGGGAAUAUUGGACAAUGGGGGGAACCCUGAUCCAGCCAUGCCGCGUGUGUGAAGAAGGCCCUCGGGUUGUAAAGCACUUUCAGUGAGGAAGAACGCCUGGUGGUUAAUACCCAUCAGGAAAGACAUCACUCACAGAAGAAGCACCGGCUAACUCCGUGCCAGCAGCCGCGGUAAUACGGAGGGUGCGAGCGUUAAUCGGAAUUACUGGGCGUAAAGCGCGCGUAGGUGGCUUGAUAAGCCGGUUGUGAAAGCCCCGGGCUCAACCUGGGAACGGCAUCCGGAACUGUCAAGCUAGAGUGCAGGAGAGGAAGGUAGAAUUCCCGGUGUAGCGGUGAAAUGCGUAGAGAUCGGGAGGAAUACCAGUGGCGAAGGCGGCCUUCGGGACUGACACUGACACUGAGGUGCGAAAGCGUGGGUAGCAAACAGGAUUAGAUACCCCUGUAGUC
rnacentral:rRNA from 1 species